GACGAACCGUGCGAACGUUGUUCGGAUUCACUGGGCUUAAAGGGCGCGUAGGCGGGUGAUCAAGUCCGGGGUGAAAUCCUUCAGCUCAACUGGAGAAUAGCCUUGGAUACUGGUCGCCUCGAGGGAGGUAGGGGCGGGCGGAACUUCCGGUGGAGCGGUGAAAUGCGUAGAUAUCGGAAGGAACGCCGGUGGCGAAAGCGGCCCGCUGGACCUCUUCUGACGCUGAGGCGCGAAAGCCAGGGGAGCGAACAGG
rnacentral:rRNA from 1 species